rnacentral:rRNA from 1 species
UACGAAGGGGGCUAGCGUUGCUCGGAAUUACUGGGCGUAAAGCGCACGUAGGCGGCUUUCUAAGUCGGAGGUGAAAUCCCGGAGCUCAACUCCAGAACUGCCUUCGAUACUGGAGAGCUUGAGUCCGGGAGAGGUGAGUGGAACUGCGAGUGUAGAGGUGAAAUUCGUAGAUAUUCGCAAGAACACCAGUGGCGAAGGCGGCUCACUGGCCCGGUACUGACGCUGAGGUGCGAAAGCGUGGGGAGCAAACAGG